rnacentral:rRNA from 1 species
GAUGAACGCUGGCGGCGUGCUUAACACAUGCAAGUCGAACGGAAAGGCCCUGCUUUUGUGGGGUGCUCGAGUGGCGAACGGGUGAGUAACACGUGAGUAACCUGCCCUUGACUUUGGGAUAACUUCAGGAAACUGGGGAUAAUACCGGAUAGGAGCUCCUGCUGCAUGGUGGGGGUUGGAAAGUUUCGGCGGUUUGGGAUGGACUCGCGGCUUAUCAGCUUGUUGGUGGGGUAGUGGCUUACCAAGGCUGUGACGGGUAGCCGGCCUGAGAGGGUGACCGGCCACAAUAGGACUGAGAGACGGCCCAGACGCCUACGGGAGGCAGCAGUCGAGAAUAUUGCACAAUAGGCGGGAGCCUGAGGCGGCAACGCCGCGUGCGGGAUGACGGCCUUCGGGCUGUAAACCGCUUUCGCCUGUGACGAAGCGUGAGUGACGGUAAUGGGUAAAGAAGCACCGGCUAACUACGUG